GCGCAGCAGUCGCGAAAACUUCACACUGUGCGAAAGCACGAUGAGGGAAUCCCAAGUGCUUGCACGUAAGUGUAAGCUGUUUCUCUGUCUAAAACGCAGAGAGAGUAAGGGCUGGGUAAGACGGGUGCCAGCCGCCGCGGUAAUACCUGCAGCUCAAGUGGUGACCGUUAUUAUUGGGCCUAAAACGUCCGUAGCCGGUUUAAUAAAUGCCUGGGUAAAUUGUGUAGCUUAACUAUACGAAUUCCGGGGUAGACUGUUAAACUUGAGACCGGGAGAAGUUAGAGGUACUCCUGGGGUAGAGGUGAAAAUUCUGUAAUCCUAGGGGGACCACCAGUGGCGAAGGCGUCUAACUAGAACGGGUCUGACGGUGAGGGACGAAGCCCUGGGGCGCAAACGGGAUUAGGAUACCCCGUAGU
rnacentral:rRNA from 1 species